rnacentral:rRNA from 1 species
CCGGAGAAUGUUAUCACGGGAGACACACGGCGGGUGCUAACGUCCGUCGUGAAGAGGGAAACAACCCAGACCGCCAGCUAAGGUCCCAAAGUCAUGGUUAAGUGGGAAACGAUGUGGGAAGGCCCAGACAGCCAGGAUGUUGGCUUAGAAGCAGCCAUCAUUUAAAGAAAGCGUAAUAGCUCACUGGUCGAGUCGGCCUGCGCGGAAGAUGUAACGGGGCUAAACCAUGCACCGAAGCUGCGGCAGCGACGCUUAUGCGUUGUUGGGUAGGGGAGCGUUCUGUAAGCCUGCGAAGGUGUGCUGUGAGGCAUGCUGGAGGUAUCAGAAGUGCGAAUGCUGACAUAAGUAACGAUAAAGCGGGUGAAAAGCCCGCUCGCCGGAAGACCAAGGGUUCCUGUCCAACGUUAAUCGGGGCAGGGUGAGUCGACCCCUAAGGCGAGGCCGAAAGGCGUAGUCGAUGGGAAACAGGUUAAUAUUCCUGUACUUGGUGUUACUGCGAAGGGGGGACGGAGAAGGCUAUGUUGGCCGGGCGACGGUUGUCCCGGUUUAAGCGUGUAGGCUGGUUUUCCAGGCAAAUCCGGAAAAUCAAGGCUGAGGCGUGAUGACGAGGCACUACGGUGCUGAAGCAACAAAUGCCCUGCUUCCAGGAAAAGCCUCUAAGCAUCAGGUAACAUCAAAUCGUACCCCAAACCGACACAGGUGGUCAGGUAGAGAAUACCAAGGCGCUUGAGAGAACUCGGGUGAAGGAACUAGGCAAAAUGGUGCCGUAACUUCGGGAGAAGGCACGCUGAUAUGUAGGUGAAGUCCCUUGCGGAUGGAGCUGAAAUCAGUCGAAGAUACCAGCUGGCUGCAACUGUUUAUUAAAAACACAGCACUGUGCAAACACGAAAGUGGACGUAUACGGUGUGACGCCUGCCCGGUGCCGGAAGGUUAAUUGAUGGGGUCAGCGCAAGCGAAGCUCUUGAUCGAAGCCCCGGUAAACGGCGGCCGUAACUAUAACGGUCCUAAGGUAGCGAAAUUCCUUGUCGGGUAAGUUCCGACCUGCACGAAUGGCGUAAUGAUGGCCAGGCUGUCUCCACCCGAGACUCAGUGAAAUUGAACUCGCUGUGAAGAUGCAGUGUACCCGCGGCAAGACGGAAAGACCCCGUGAACCUUUACUAUAGCUUGACACUGAACAUUGAGCCUUGAUGUGUAGGAUAGGUGGGAGGCUUUGAAGUGUGGACGCCAGUCUGCAUGGAGCCGGCCUUGAAAUACCACCCUUUAAUGUUUGAUGUUCUAACGUGGACCCGUGAUCCGGGUUGCGGACAGUGUCUGGUGGGUAGUUUGACUGGGGCGGUCUCCUCCUAAAGAGUAACGGAGGAGCACGAAGGUUGGCUAAUCCUGGUCGGACAUCAGGAGGUUAGUGCAAUGGCAUAAGCCAGCUUGACUGCGAGCGUGACGGCGCGAGCAGGUGCGAAAGCAGGUCAUAGUGAUCCGGUGGUUCUGAAUGGAAGGGCCAUCGCUCAACGGAUAAAAGGUACUCCGGGGAUAACAGGCUGAUACCGCCCAAGAGUUCAUAUCGACGGCGGUGUUUGGCACCUCGAUGUCGGCUCAUCACAUCCUGGGGCUGAAGUAGGUCCCAAGGGUAUGGCUGUUCGCCAUUUAAAGUGGUACGCGAGCUGGGUUUAGAACGUCGUGAGACAGUUCGGUCCCUAUCUGCCGUGGGCGCUGGAGAACUGAGGGGGGCUGCUCCUAGUACGAGAGGACCGGAGUGGACGCAUCACUGGUGUUCGGGUUGUCAUGCCAAUGGCACUGCCCGGUAGCUAAAUGCGGA